UGUGUGUGUGUGUGUGUGUGGGUAUAUGUGUAUGAUUUUAUGCUCUAUGGUAUUCCUAGGUCAAUUCAUCUGUUUCCGGCUUCUUUUAUCAUCAUUCCUUCUAGUAUUUGUAGUGUCUACCAUCCUAAACAAUUGAAAUCUUCCUUCAUUUUGUUGACCGUGAAUACUGAACAAGAUGUUUGUUUUAAGAUUCAUGGAUGCUUGAUUUUACUUGUUUAAAUUAUGCAUCAUUUUGCUAUACUGUCCAUGUAAACAUUGUAUGUAUUUCUGAUGCAUCCUUGAUUGAUCUGAAACAGUGGGAUAAAUCUGAAGACCGGCUG
rnacentral:misc_RNA from 1 species